AGUGAACGCUGGCGGUAUGCCUAACACAUGCAAGUCGAACGGCAGCACAGUAAGAGCUUGCUCUUACGGGUGGCGAGUGGCGGACGGGUGAGGAAUACAUCGGAAUCUACUUUUUCGUGGGGGAUAACGUAGGGAAACUUACGCUAAUACCGCAUACGACCUACGGGUGAAAGCAGGGGAUCUUCGGACCUUUCGCGAUUGAAUGAGCCGAUGUCGGAUUAGCUAGUUGGCGGGGUAAAGGCCCACCAAGGCGACGAUCCGUAGCUGGUCUGAGAGGAUGAUCAGCCACACUGGAACUGAGACACGGUCCAGACUCCUACGGGAGGCAGCAGUGGGGAAUAUUGGACAAUGGGCGCAAGCCUGAUCCAGCCAUGCCGCGUGAGUGAAGAAGGCCUUCGGGUUGUAAAACCCUUUUGUUAGGGAAGAAAAGCAGCAGGUUAAUCCCCCGCUGUUCUGACGGUACCCAAAGAAUAAGCACCGGCUAACUUCGUG
rnacentral:rRNA from 1 species